rfam:Gossypium raimondii chromosome 2, whole genome shotgun sequence.
AAUCCAUGCAUUAGACAUUUUUGAAGGAAUUCCUUAAAUAUUUCCCAAGCUUCAUACAACGUCUUAUCCCCUGAUUGCCAAAAAGGCAUGAUGUCAAUUCUAAGAUU